rnacentral:rRNA from 1 species
GACGAACGCUGGCGGCGUGCUUAACACAUGCAAGUCGAGCGGUAAGGCCCUUUCGGGGGUACACGAGCGGCGAACGGGUGAGUAACACGUGGGUGACCUGCCCUUAGCUCUGGGAUAAGCCUGGGAAACUGGGUCUAAUACCGGAUAUGACUCCAUGACGCAUGUUGUGGGGUGGAAAGCCUUGUGCGGCUAGGGAUGGGCCCGCGGCCUAUCAGCUUGUUGGUGGGGUGAUGGCCUACCAAGGCGACGACGGGUAGCCGGCCUGAGAGGGCGACCGGCCACACUGGGACUGAGACACGGCCCAGACUCCUACGGGAGGCAGCAGUGGGGAAUCUUGCGCAAUGGGCGAAAGCCUGACGCAGCGACGCCGCGUGCGGGAAGAAGGCCUCGGUUGUAACG